rnacentral:rRNA from 1 species
GUGUCAGCAGCCGCGGUAAUACGUAGGGGGCGAGCGUUGUCCGGAAUGACUGGGCGUAAAGGGCGCGUAGACGGUUGUCUAAGUCUGGAGUGAAAGUCCUGCUUUCAAGGUGGGAAUUGCUUUGGAGACUGAAUGACUUGAGUGCGGAAGAGGUAAGUGGAAUUCCCAGUGUAGCGGUGAAAUGCGUAGAGAUUGGGAAGAACACCAGUGGCGAAGGCGACUUACUGGGCCGUAACUGACGUUGAUGCGCGAAAGCGUGGGGAGCGAACAGGAUUAGAUACCCUGGUAGUCCACGCGGUAAACGAUGAGUGCUAGGUGUAGCGGGUAUCGACCCCUGCUGUGCCGGAGUUAACACAAUAAGCACUCCGCCUGGGGAGUACGGCCGCAAGGUUGAA